GUAGAUAUAGUUUAACAAAAACAUCAGAUUGUGAUCCUGACAAUAGAAAUUAACAACUUCUUAUCUACC
rnacentral:tRNA from 2 species